rnacentral:rRNA from 1 species
UGGCUUUGACAUCCUCGUGACACGGCAUGUAAUUUGCCAUUCCUUCGGGACAGGGGAGACAGGUGGUGCAUGGUUGUUGUCAGGUUGUGUCGUGAGAUGUUGGGUUAAGUCCCGCAACGAGCGCAACCCCUGCCCUUAGUAGCCAGCGCGUAAAGGCGGGCACUCUAGGGGGACUGCCGGGGAGGACCCGGAGGAAGGCGGGGAUGACGUCAAAUCAUCAUGCCCCUUAUGGCGUGGGCUACACACGUGCUACAAUGGCGUAACAGAGGGAGGCGAAGCCGCGAGGCGGAGCGAACCCCAAAAAUAACGUCCCAGUUCGGACUGCAGCCUGCAACCCGGCUGCACGAAGUUGGAAUCGCUAGUAAUCGCGGAUCAGAAUGCCGCGGUGAAUACGUUCCCGGGUCUUGUACACACCGCCCGUCACACCAUGGGAGCCGGGAAUGCCCGAAGUCAGUGGCCCAACCGAAAGGAGGGAGCUGCCGAAGGCAGGCCCGGUGACUGGGGUGAAGUCGUAACAAGGUAACCGU